rnacentral:ncRNA from 2 species
AGGCGGCCACCAGAUGUAUGCUCGACCUCGCUGUCGUCGCAGGGGAAUUCGGUGCGAAUCCGGAACUGUCCCGCAACGGUGUACAAGUGCGUAUUUGGCGCGCCCACCAGUCCGAGCACCUGCGGACGGCGCACCCGGUCC